GUCUCCUUUGGCCUAGGGGUAUGAUUCUCGCUUUGGGUGCGAGAGGUCCGGGGUUCAGAUCCCGGACGAGCCC